CUAGAUCUUACAGGCUUGAUAAAAGAUCCAGCACAGAAGAGUAGACAAUCAUUGAAACAUUUACUUGGAAACAGCAGACGGAUAUCACUAAGUCACAUUACAGCAUGUGCUCACAGAACAGAACUGUGCUGGGAUUUAGUAAGAAGUGCUGCAUUGUGCAUUGCAUUGUCUAUUAUCUGGACUUUUUUUCUUUCUUUCUUCUUUCUUGCUCUUUUUCAGAGCAUAAUGCUGCUUACUAAAAAGGCACUGUAUGGUAUGUACAUCCAUACAUAGAUGUUUAGAGCAAAGAUUAUUUGUUUUGGGUACUUAUAAUGAAC